UCAAGCUACCGCAUCCGCUUACUUAUAAGCCAACCUCACACUAGCUCUAGUACUAUAGCCCGCGCGGCAACUGUACGCGGGCUAUAGUACUAGAGCUAACCUCACACAAGUUUUAUAACACCUGCCAGAGCGGACGCACGCACGCGGCAACGUCGAGCGUCUGCGUAUUCAGUCACCGAUUUCUAUUCAUUCAGCCACUCAUUGCUAUACUCCAGAUACCUCAAGGAGAUACGUAAAAACAAAGCUAAAGUUGAGCAAGUAUAUCUAAGCACUACCAGAAGCCAUGUCAGUGAGAGUAGCUACAGAGUUUGAGGCGAGCGCACCGCUCAAGCGUCACCGAUCGUCAUCACCGGACGCCCGCCAACAAUCGCCGUGGAAACGCAGCCUCGUGGAAGAACGCGAACAGGAAACGGAACAUGGGUAUACAUAUACUAUACAAGUCGCUAUGACUAUAUACGAACCCACGCCAACCAAUGAGACUAAGGAUGCGCACGACGAAGCCGUGAAGAAGGUCAUUCAAAGGUCGGAGGUUGCGAGCGAGGUUGCCACGGCGACGCGCGACUGCAUCCUGAGGGAGGAGCUCGCCGGUGUCUCCCCGCCGUCCGUGCCGCCGCUCCCCGGAUUCCCCGCUCGCCCAGAUGACACCCCGGGACGCGACAGCGCCGCGCGACUCAAGGAAACCUACGAGUGGACCGUCAAGGCUCUCCUCUUCCUUGACUGCGCGGCCGCCGACGAGCGUGCGGGGGCGACGCCGGAAGGGUACGGGAAAGGGAAGUUCCCUAUGGAGCGCGUGCUGCAGGAGGUGGAUAGGAUGGAGAAGAACGUGGCAGGAGCGUGCUUGACGGGGAUAGGGAGCGUGCCUCACGUCGACACGAGCGGGCUUCGGCCGGAAGCGUGCGACAACGAGAGCGAUCGCGUGCAGAGAGACUACGUGCUGACUCGCGACACCGCCGAGUGCCUCGACGCCGUGACGAUCAUCUACAAAGACAUGUAGCACGGUUGCCGUGGCGACGACAACAACGCGCGGUGACGGCGGCUGCCAUCGUUGGCUCCGAUAGACGGUCAUGUAUUAAAGAUGUACUCGCGCGUUUGUGCGUGCGUGCAUGCGUACGUGCGUGCGUGCGUGAAGACGAAGACGUGUACGUACGUUUAGUCCUGCGGCUGCGAAUGGGUUGGGGAUGGAUAAGUGGGAAGCAUUUCGCAAUUGUACGGCUGCUGUACAUUUGUAAUUAUUUUAACGGGUCUAUCGGGCUAUAAGGUGAAUAAGAGGAGUCGUUUUUAGGGUGUAGUGAGUAGCACGCAUCGCAUCACAUCUAUAUUUAUAAUAGCUUAACUCUACUAUAUUUAUUGUUGUUAUUAAUAUUAUAUAUCACUCAUAAUUUAAACACAUGUAUACUCAUAACUCAGCCUAUGAUAAGCUAGUGUUCAUAGUAGACCCUCAGUAUUACGAUUCGUCGUGCUCUCAAUUGCCACCUUAUAUUAAUAUUGUGCAGCAGUAGGUGGCUUAAGAAGUAUUUUCAUUUCCUUUCAUUUCCAUUUCAAAGUACGCUUUUUUCUAGCUAUAUGUGAUAUUCAUAUUCCUGUUACAACUUAAAUAAACGUUUUUACGCAUAA
rnacentral:misc_RNA from 1 species